CCCCCUCUUGAUAUUUUCUUCUUCUUCUUCCCAAGCUUCGACCAGCAUCGCCCUUUCCGUUUCUGAUCACCUUCUUCCGAAGCCGUCGCCCGUUGUUUCCGUGCACACCACCGCGCAGAACGACUCCCCUUGCGGUUCAGCCGCUCGUCGCUGUCUCCCGAAGUCGUCGCCUCUCCUUCCGUAUGUGCUACUGGACCAAGCCAGCGGCUACACCACAUUUCUUCUUCAGCCGCUAUGUGUGGUAACCACCGGAGAUCGUUUAGCCGCUGGCGUUUAUUUUUCUUUCAUAUCAAUCCUUUUAGAAUUAAAUUUUGGAAGAGUUUAAACUGCAGUCUAGCCAUUCGGAAGCUCAAAAUCGGACGCUUUGGCACACUUUAGGCCAAAUUGAAGUGGGGAAAGCGUAUAACCCUGGGGGAUCGAGUUACUGACAGUAGUGAACAAAGGCCAAGCGUUUAGAUUGAUCUCUCGUCAUCAGUCGUACAUCUCCAUUAUUCUUUUGUAUGUUUGUAGUUUUUUUUUUGUAAUGCAUCAUGGAGUGAUUAGAUGUAGCGAGAGUGAGGCCACGAACUUGUAUAGGAGAUCCCUCUUUAGAACGAAAUCAUUUUGUAUGAAUUUUUUUUUUUGUCAAAUUCUGAACUUUACUGAAACCUUGAAACUGUCUGGAUAAGUGUGUGGUGAGACACACUUGUUUUGUGUU